CCAUGUGAACAUGUGUCUGCUUCCCCUUUGCUUUCCUCUAUAACUAGAAGUUUCCUGAGGCCUCCCCAGAAGCAGAAGCCUCUACAGCCUGAAGAACUUGAGACUGUUCACAUGGAUCUCAAAUAAGCUCUUCAAUCAAAGCUACCUAAAAUUAUCACCAUUUGCUAAUAUACCAUGGCCUUCAAGUCAACAAGUUCUGAUAAAUACUUAUUGGGUUUGGAAAGUCUUAAAAACCUGGCCCAUACAGAGCUUACACCUAUGACCUUGGCUUCGUGGGCACCAUGAUCUCAGCAAUGCAUCUAUCAUGCCUGCCUUUGGACCUAAUGAGUAUGAACCACAUUACAUCAGAGAAGAGUGCCAGGGUCAACAAUUAAUAUUUUAGAGUUACAACUACAUGUGAACCUAUGUACUUGCAUUUUCAGCAAUAUUGCAGCAUAGUAUUAUUUAUCUCUAAAAUAAAAAAUGCAUGAAUAUAU